UGCCUGGCGCGUCCUUGACUUUGCCUUGGCACCGGUAACCGAGUUUCUCAGCGUCGGAGAGGAUGCUGUAGAUUCAUUUGCAAAGUUACCUGAGGCCGCUGAUUUUAUUAUUUUAUUUUAAUUUUUUAGUCUACUCGGAACCGAGGAAGAAGAAGAGGUCCUCAAGACACUCCCCGAGAGCCAGAGACUUGCCUGAACCCCCCAGACAGGUGCCCGGGAGUUCAGGAUAGUUGAACUGGUAGGGCAGGCCUCUUGAACAGGUGGUCCCCGAGCGUUUUGAGAGCUUGUUCGAUUUAUUUUCCCGGCCAGAGGGAAAAGGAGGUCCAGAGACUUCGCAGCGGAAUAGCAUCUUGCUCCGUCACCAGGGGUUAGAGUAUAGUGGCCUCAUCAUAGCUCACUGCAACCUCAACUCCUGGGCUCAAGUGAUCCUCCUGCCUCAGCCAGCCAAGUAGCUGGAACUACAGUGGCAUCUUAUAGCUGGAAUCACUUUGACCUUGGCCAGAGCAAACAUUAAUGAAAUGGAACUGGACAGAGCCAGCACAACAUUCACAACAUUCAUUCUUCCCCGUCAGUGCUUUUGUCUCUCCGUUCUUUUCCCCUGACUCUUGGACUCUCUUCCACUUCUCAUGGGCUAGGAGAAGUCCUUUACAUGUUUGGCUGGAAAUUUGGAUUUGGUGGUCAUUGGUGUGAAUAUAGUAGCUGUGAGUGAUAAUAUUGUCAUCCAAGGAGAGAGAAUAAAUGUGAAAGAGAAGAAUGCCAUCAAUAGGAUAAAGCUCUCCAUGAAAGUCCUCAUUUCUCAUGUCAACUUUAAUGUAUUGCUCAAAUAAUUUUCUCGUUGGUAUUUGAAAAGUUUUCAUUAGAUAAAUACAUAAAUGCACACCUAAAUAAAGCUGACAUUUACCAUAAAAUUAAAAGACUCAAGAUCUUUGAAAAGAAUGAGUGGAUAU